GACGAACGCUGGCGGCGUGCCUAAUACAUGCAAGUAGAACGCUGAAGGAGGAGCUUGCUCUUCUGGAUGAGUUGCGAACGGGUGAGUAACGCGUAGGUAACCUGCCUGGUAGCGGGGGAUAACUAUUGGAAACGAUAGCUAAUACCGCAUAAGAGUAGAUGUUGCAUGACAUUUACUUAAAAGGUGCAAUUGCAUCACUACCAGAUGGACCUGCGUUGUAUUAGCUAGUUGGUGGGGUAACGGCUUACCAAGGCGACGAUACAUAGCCGACCGGAGAGGGGGAUCGGCCACACUGGGACUGAGACACGGCCCAGACUCCUGCGGGAGGCAGCAGUAGGGAAUCGUCGGCAAUGGACGGAAGGCUGACCGAGCAACGCCGCGUGAGUGAAGAAGGUUUUCGGAUCGUAAAGCUCUGUUGUAAGAGAAGAACGAGGGUGAGAGUGGAAAGUUCACACUGUGACGGUAUCUGAACAGAAAGGGACGGCUAACUACGUG
rnacentral:rRNA from 1 species